GCAGCUGUAGCUCAGUUGGUUAGAGCGUCGGAUUGUGGAUCCGAAGGUCGUUGGUUCGAGGCCAACCAGCUGUACCA
rnacentral:tRNA from 1 species